rnacentral:lncRNA from 1 species
GUGUAAUUUGGCAGAGAAAGGAGGUUGGCCUUGGCAGGGCAGGAGACAUCAGGGAUGGAGGGAAUGUUGUGAGGGCAGGAGGGCAGACUGUGUGUGUGUGUGUGCACACGCAUGUGUGUGCGUGACAGAUCAUGAGUGUGUGUGGCUGCCCUUCUGGCCUGAGGACAAAUGUGUGUAAAAGGCUGCUCAGUGCAGAGAGAAGAGCAAGCCUGCAGGAUUCUGUCCACUCUGUCUGCAUAUCUCCCUAAUUCCUGCUUUAUUCUUAUUUAUUAAUGUUUAAAUGUAUUAAAAUAUCAAUUUAAUAAAACAAUACAUAAUAUAAUGCAUCGGUCAACCAUCACAACAUUUUUGAUAAUGCACUACUCUUUUUAGAUGAUGUUCACUGAAGAAUGAAACCUAUCCCCUCCAAAACAGUAUGUACAGUAUAAAUUCCGACUUCUGUAUUUGUGUGCAUUUUGCAGGAGGACCAGCAGAUGGUCGUCUUUUACCUGGUGACCAAGUGCUAAAAGUCAACAAUAAAGCCAUAGAGGACCUGUCUCCGGAAAAUGUGGAGCACAUGAUCAGGGACUGCCAGGACUCUGUUACCAUGACGGUCCUCAGAAACAUGCUGGUGAGUAUGCGGUGCUUCAUUUGUAACUGUUCAUUUGUAUCUGAUUGGGCAUUCUCGUACACAGUAGUGCCCUUAGACUGCAGUGGGUCAUUUUACAUUUAUCGUGUUUCUGUGUGUGUUCUUUAUUUAUUCAGUAUAUUGGUAGGAAGUGAUUGAGUGUGUGUGUGUCUGUGUGUGUCUGUACACUUUUGUUAAUGAAUGUUUGAUUUUCUCAGAACCCCAAGUCCUCAUUCAUGAGUGCGGAGAAGAGAGCUCGCCUGAGAAGAAAUCCAGUUAAAGUGCGCUUUGCAGAGGAGGUGGUCGUUAACGGACACACUCAGGUUUGGGCAUAACACACACCUACCAUUCAGAUUAUAUAUACGGUUUAAAAAAAAAAAGACCACUUACAAAUG